AUGGUUCCUUAUUUCGUUAUUCGUUUACGAAUCUGAUACCAAAAAACGAAUAACGAGUCAUUUCUCGUACUUUCGAUUUAAUGCUCAGAUCAAAAAUAGGAAAUUAGGAAACGGGCCACAGACCGAUUUUGAUUUUGAUAUUUAAUUUGUUCGAUUUGUGUGAACCGGAAGUUACGGUCUUCUUCGUGUGUUGCACUUGGAAGUUUCCAAGUUUUUUUUAUAUACUGUCUAUGGACGUUUCCCGCAAUUUGGAAAACAGUUAGACGAGGCCUGGAAAACAUCAAUUAUGCAGUGAUUGUAAGUUAAUGACUCAGUAUUUCUUAAGUAAUUUCGUAUUGACACCAUGGCUGCACUGGAACCAUAUGCUGAUUUAAUUAAAGAUUUAUUUGAAACUGGCAAGACACAUGUAGAGAUUUCCACAACGCUGCAGCAGAUGGGUGUCCAGCGAUGUUCUGAAAUAAGUGUGAGAAGAUUCUGUGUUCAGCACAACCUUAAGCGAAAAAGACAUGUAUCGGACACAGAACUGGAGAGGGCUGUGGUUGGAUCAAUAUAUGAAGUAAGUUUUUUUUUUUAGGUUUUCACAUUUUAUAUCCUGCCCGUCUUUCAAAUGUUGUAGCGAAUAACUGUAUUUUUCUUAACAGACGGGCCCAUCUUAUGGCCGCAAGUUCAUGACUGGAUAUCUGUCUUUAAUGGGAGUGCAUGCAGGAGAAUGUCGAGUUGGGAAAAUCCUCAGAGAGAUUCAUCAGCCAUACCACGAAUUCCGACGUCACGCUAGUUAUAUGCUAAGAAUGAAGUAGGCCUACAGUACAUGAUGUUGCAUGCAUAUAAGAAUUUCUUUGAUGUAGAAAUGGUUCGUGAAUAUUCUGGGCUCAAAAUAUAAAACAUGUCUUCAGGGUGCUCGUAAUCUAAAUCCCAUCCCGUAUCAUGCGGAAUAUAUGGGCCAUAAAAUUCACAUGGACCAAAACGAGAAGCUUGUGAUGUUUGGAGUGACACACGUCGUGGCAGUUGAUGGCUACAGCGGCAAAAUUGUUGCCAAUGCCACCAUGCCAGUGAAAAACAACCUUGUGAUUUAUGAGGAAGUUUACAGAUCUGCAGUGGUUAACCAUGGGAUGUGGGACCAACUCAGGGUCGACCAUGGCAGGGAGUUUUACAUGUGCUUGUACAUGCAAGAGAUGCUGUCAAGACAUAGACACAACCCUAGCAGGCCACCAUACCUUCAAACAACAUCAACAAGGAAUCUUCGAGUGGAAAGGAUUUGGCCCGAGGUGAACAAUCGCGUUAACUACCCAUUGAAACAGGCCCUGGUACACCUGCUGGACCAAGAAGUCCUCAACAUGGAGGACAAUAUGACUAAAUUCUGCAUUUCAAACCUGACAUGUCAAUUAAGCCAAAUUGGACUAGGCAGAGUGGUGCAAUCGUGGAAUGCACACAGGAUCCCAGGUAUGCUAAACUGAAUAUGUACAACCCUUUGAAGCAGUUAUUUUUUCACACGCCAACCACAUACAGCAUAAAUGGCAUUGCUUUGUUAGUUAUUUGUUUCCUUGUUUUAGGACGUGGGAUACCCAAUGAACUUGCAGCAGGUGGCUGUCCAGCUAAAAUCUCUGAAGAGCUGCUGCCCAAUGCCUCUGUUGUGGCAAACAUGUAUGAGCAAGAGUUUGGAUCCUCGCUAACUUUUUGGAACUGACCCAUUUUCAUCUGAGGAGGAUAGAUGUCAUGCAGAACAAGACUUUGCAGAAAACUACCCUGACAUCUCUCUUCUUUUUAAUCAUGUGGUAAAUAAUGACUAUACACCUUUCCAAGAUGCCUUGUUGUACCUCAUAAAUGUCACCCAAAGAUAUGUCUGAAAACAGUAACUGAAAUGCAGUGGUGUUGUUAAGUAGCUAGGAAAACAGACUGUGUUAUGCUCUUUGACAGUCACCCGUUUACUUCCUCUGAACAAGAUGAAACUCUCCAUGAUGGUUUUGAAGGCUAACGUUUGGUUAAACUCUAAACUGAAGAAAUGAAUCAAGCUAACGAGACAAUAACUUCCGGUUCACACAAAUCGGACAAAUUAAAUAUCUAAAUCGGUCCGUGGCCCGUUAUUUCAUUUCCUAUUUUUGAUCUGAGCAUUAAAUCGAAAGUACGAAAAAUGACCCGUUAUUCGUUUUUUGGUAUCAGAUUCGUAAACGAAUAACGAAAUAACGAACCAUUUUUUCAUUUUCCGUUUUGGAAUCUCAAUUGAAUAUGAAAAGAACGAAUGAUACACGGAUUAGUUACAGUAAUCCACUUAGCUUGCCUUCACACACUGCUCGUCAUGAAAGAAUGAAUGAGAAUGUUGGAUUCGGUCACGUUCCAAAGCGUAUUUUUUUUUAUAAAUAAAAGUAUUACGCAGAACAACAUUAUUGGGAGGGACACUUUAACCCGUUUCUAAUAUUGAGCGGGACAUGUCUCCCCCGGCUCCUACGCCCUUGCCUGUUCCCAAGAUACAUUUAGUGGAGAAGUGUUCCUGGUUUGACGGGUGAGCUACAUCAAAAAUACAACGCAUACACAGAGACCUGAAACUACUUUGGCUUUCUUACUGGGCUCAAACACAUAUCCACGGAGAUCCGCAGGGCCUGUUGUAAUCUCGUGCACAAAUACAGCGAAUACAAGAUUACUUUGAACAUGAAAUUUGUCAGCUUUUGUCAUGUUUUGUAGCUCCUUAACUAAUGACCUGACACCUGGAAUCUAAUAUUAAGCUGAGAGAAGGACA
ensembl:lncRNA